GAAAUGCGAUAAGUAAUGUGAAUUGCAGAAUUCAGUGAAUCAUCGAAUCUUUGAACGCACCUUGCGCUCCUUGGUAUUCCGAGGAGCAUGCCUGUUUGAGUGUCAUGAAACCCUCAAGCUUUGCUUGGUGUUGGGCGUCUUGUCUCCAGUUCGCUGGAGACUCGCCUUAAAGUAAUUGGCAGCCGGCAUAUUGGUAUCGGAGCGCAGCACAAGUCGCACUUCUUUCCAUGAAUGUUGGCAUCCAUCAAGACUAUUUUUUCACUCUUGACCUCGGAUCAGGUAGGGAUACCCGCUGAACUUAA
rnacentral:misc_RNA from 1 species